GACAGAGGCCUCGAGCGUUAGGCGGAAUCACUGGGCUUAAAGCGUGUGUAGGCUGACCUCUAAGUACCUUGUGAAAUCCCACGGCUCACCCGUGGAACCGCUGGGUAUACUGGGGGUCUUGGGCCACUCAGGGGCGACUGGAACAAGCGGUGGAGCGGUGAAAUGCGUAGAUAUCGCUUGGAACGCCGAAGGUGAAAACAGGUCGCUGGGAGUGCGCCGACGCUGAGACACGAAAGCCAGGGGAGCAAACGGG
rnacentral:rRNA from 1 species